GUGCCAGCAGCCGCGGUAAUACAGAGGGGGCGAGCGUUGUUCGGAAUUACUGGGCGUAAAGGGCGCGUAGGCGGCCAACUAAGUCAGACGUGAAAUCCCUCGGCUCAACCGGGAAACAGCAUCCGAAACUGGUAGCCUUGAGGUAUGGAGAGGGAAGUGGAAUUCCAGGUGUAGCGGUGAAAUGCGUAGAUAUCUGGAGGAACACCCGUGGCGAAGGCGGCUUCCUGGCCAUAUCCUGACGCUGAGGUGCGAAAGCUAGGGGAGCAAACGGGAUUAGAUACCCUGGUAGUCC
rnacentral:rRNA from 1 species